rnacentral:lncRNA from 1 species
CCUAAGACCUGAGCUAAGACCUAAGACCUAAGUUAAGACCUAAGACCUGAGCUAAGACCUAAGACCUAAGUUAAGACCUAAGACCUGAGGUAAGACCUAAGACCUGAGGUAAGACCUAGGACCUAAGUUAAGACCUAAGACCUGAGGUAAGAGCUUGCUUGGUGUGUUCUUUGUGCAUCAGAGUUCAGUGAAGCGCGUGUGGAAUGAGUUAGGUGGUGAGAGGUGGAAAGUGAGGUCUGAGAUGUCGUGGGGGCCAGGGGAGGGAGAGCUUUAAAGCCGUUACAAGGAGUCUAAUUUUUAUGCUGAUGAGAUGAGAAGCUAUCUGUUGAAGGGUUUAAAGCAAAAGAAUGUCAUGAUCUGACUUAGAUGAAAAGGAUCCUUCUGGUUAUAGUGAGAAGGCUACUGGUGUAAUCUAGGUGAUAAAAGACAGUGGUUGUUUGAACCCACAGUUGUCCAAGUGGCAAGAGGCGGUCAGAUUUGAGGAUGUAAUUUGGAGGUAGAAUUGAUAGGAUUUAUUGAUGAAUUAGAUGCAGAAUUUGAGAAAAAGAUGAGUUAAGAUUUGGCGCGGGAANUUAGAGGCUGACUCUGUUGCCAAAACUCGACCUCUCCCUGCUGGUGCCAAAUCGAAACCCAGAGACAGAGGUUUUGCGUAAAGAAGAAAAAAAUAGCUUUAUUGCUUUGCCAGGCAAAGGGGGCCACAGCAGGCUAAUGCCUUAAAGACUGUGCCCCCUUCCCCACCCCACCCCUAAAGGGUUAGGAGGUGGUUUUAUAGUUUGGGGAGUGGAAUAAGGAUCAGGACUGUAGAUAAGGAUCAGGGUAGAGGCAAGCUUGUCUUUUCCGAGCUGGUGAUUAUGGCCCUGGGACUGGUUCUGGUGGUCCUCCUUCUUCCCAGAAUGAAGAAGGCUUCAUAAGUCAUAAGUCGGUCUUCCCUUUGUUGGGGGCUUUAGUUCUGCAGAAAGGCUCAAAGAUAUUGUUAUGCAUAUUCCCUGAGGAGGAACCAGGACCUACCCUAAGGCUGUAAGACUUCUCCCUGGUCUCCGCAUCCCCUCCUUUCCCUGAUGAGCAGCUGCCCUUUGAAACUCAAGGAAGGUCAGGGAGGCUGACGUCUAUUCCCUAAAAACGAGAAAUGGAGGACACAGAAGGCUUGUGUGCCCCUUGUGUGUAACCAGCUCGGUGACAGAUCCUCCCUGAAGGCACCCCUUCCGGAGGUACUAGACCUUGGUGGGGGAAGCUGAGGAAAAAACUAAGUUGGGCAACACCCACAGGCUAAAGUGUGUCCCAUCUCCGCACGGGGCUGGAAGUACUGUCCCUUGGCAGCCAUGGUCUUAAGACGCACAGUCGAAGCAAGUCUUGCAGCUUAGGCUUGGCGACUGUUAAGCGCCCCCCCCCCCCCCGUGCACAGGUCUGGUCGCUGUAUUUAUUAGGUAUUCAUUCCAUUCUUCCGUAUUUCGCGUGUGCAGAGGACCCGUUCGGUGACAGAGCAAGGUGAUUUCACCUGGUUGUUUGCUGUCCAUGUUUGUAUUUUUUUAAAUGGUCUUGAAUUUCGUUCUGGGAUGCAGUGAAGUUUUCCGGGAAUAGUGUGAUCCUUUUGAGGAUGACUCUUAGGCUUUGUUAGGUGCGCCCACGCUGCAUUCACCGCUAGUUUUUCCUUCCUGCGGGGGGAGUGCUUUGUGAGCACCCUACACAGUGCUGAUGCAUUACGAGUUUUUUCCACUAAGGCUGGUGGGAACAUUAUCUGUUCCUGGACCCAUGGGAGCUCUGGGGAAUAUACUGCCUAUAAACCUGGCAGUACUGCCAAGCACACUGCUCGCAUAGUUUCCUUACCCGCAUCACGGACCAAGACCGAAAACCCCAGAGAACCCCCUUCCAAGCUCUCUCUGUGGAGCUCUCUCCCUCCUGGUACUCUGCCUUCCACAUUCUACCCACCUUAGCCUCCCCAGAUCCUGAUUCUGCCUCCUCAGCUCAGGGAGGUGUUGGGCUCUUUUGAGUACCCCUUCCUGGGUUGCUCCCUGGGAAUGCUCUUAGGGGGUGGGUAAGUUGGGGCAGUCCUAGAACUGACUUUGGGGCAAUUUUUGGGCUUACUUUGUAUGUUUCCCUUCUGUGUAAUAUCUAUAAACUGUUAUUUUACGUAUUUCAUCAUUUUAAAAAAGUUUUUAAGGCAUAAGGGUAAAUCUGUCUCUAUUUCUCCAUCAUGGUAGGAAGGAGAAAUCCCAUCUUCUAAUAUUUUGAACUCGUACUUCUUUCAUCACAAGUGAAGGCUGCCUCCUGAGAUUAUUAGUUGCCUGAUUCAAAUGUCACAUAAAUGUAGUAGAAGCAGGACAGACAGACUCUUUAUUUUAGUUGCUUUAUCUUGCUUAGUCAAGAAGAGUUGAGAAGUGAACAGAAGAAUAAGAAUAGGUGCAGUGGGAUUGGCAGUGUCUCUGAAGCGCAGGUUUGAUUCGCAGCCCAGCACAGUAGGUUAAGGAUCCUGCAUUGCUGCAGCUGUGGCAAAGCUCACGACUGCAGUUCAGAUUUGAUCUGAGGCCCAGGAACUCCAUCUGCUGGGGCAGCCAAAAGAGAAGAAAGAAAAAAAAAAAAAAAAAAAAAAAAAAAAAAAAA